UCGUAUUUUUGGGGUUGUAGGGCUCAUGACAUGGUAUUUCGAGUUUUAGUUUAAUAACCUGGGAAGGUUAGCGAUACAGGGUGAUAGCCCCGUGAACGAAAAGAUUAGAAAACCUAAUGAGUACCUGAGUAUGACCGGCCACGUGAAAUCCGGUCUGAAUCUGGGGGGACCACCCUCCAAGGCUAAAUACUCGUCGAUGACCGAUAGUGAACCAGUACCGCGAGGGAAAGGUGAAAAGAACCCCUGCUAGGGGAGUGAAAUAGAACCUGAAACCAACAGCUUACAAACGGUCGAAGGCCUAUGCCCUUUUUAAGGGAAUGGCUAACGGCGUGCCUUUUGCAUGAUGAGCCAGCGAGUUGCGUUAAAUGGCAAGGUUAAGGGACUGAAAACGUUCUGGAGCCGAAGCGAAAGCGAGUGUUAACAGCACGAUUAAGUCAUUUGAUGCAGACACGAAACCAAGUGAUCUAUCCAUGGUCAGGAUGAAGCAAGGGUAAUACCUUGUGGAGGUCCGAACUAGUAACUGUUGAAAAAGUUUUGGAUGAACUGUGGAUAGGGGUGAAAGGCUAAUCAAACUUGGAGAUAUCUUGUUCUCUCCGAAAUAACUUUAGGGUUAGCCUCGACGUUAACUUCUUGGGGGUAGAGCACUGAAUUCACUAGGGAGACGCAAGUCUUACCGAAGGAAAUCAAACUCCGAAUACCAGGAAGCUAGUCGGGAGAUAGACUGUGGGGGAUAAGCUUCAUAGUCAAAAGGGGAACAGCCCAGAUCGCCAAUUAAGGCCCCUAAUUCUAUGCUAAGUGAGAAAGGAAGUGAAGUUUCAAAGACAGUUGGGAUGUUGGCUUAGAGGCAGCCAUCAUUUAAAGAGUGCGUAACAGCUCACCAAUCGAGAGACUUCGCGCCUAUAAUAUACGGGACUCGAAGCAUAGAGCCGAAAUUGCGGAUGUAUACCCGCGAGGGAUAUACGUGGUAGGAGAAGCGUUGUAUGUGCAACGAAGAUGUACCGUAAGGAGCAUUGGAGCGCAUACAAGUGAUAAUGCAUGGCAUGAGUAAACGAUAAAGAAAGUGAAAAUCUUUCUCGCCGAAAAAUCAAGGUUUCCAGGGUAAAGCUCGUCUUCCCUGGGUCAGCCGGUCCCUAAGCCAAGGCGGAAACGCGUAGGUGAUGGGAAGCAGGUUAAACAUUCCUGCGCCGCCGUAGAUUAUACGACGGGGUGACAAAAUAAGUUAAGCGUGCGGACCAUUGGAUGUGUCCGUUUCGAGAUGGGGUGGGCCACUAGGUAAAUCCGGUGGCAUAAAGCUCGGUCUUGGACAAGGGGAAUCUUCGGAGGAACCGAUGACGUAGCGCGAUAUUUUCAAGAAAUAACCCCUAGUUUUCGAAGGCGACCGUACCAAAACCGUCACAGGUGAUUAGGAUGAAUAUUCUCAGGCGCGCGAGAUAACUCUCGUUAAGGAACUCUGCAAAUUACCCUCGUAACUUCGGGAAAAGAGGGGCCGGAAACCGUCAUUGACUUCGCGUCAAGAAGCGGAAUCUGGUCGAAGCAAAAUGGCCCAGGCGACUGUUUAACAAAAACACAGCACUAUGCAAACACGUCUAAGUGGAAGUAUAUGGUGUGAAGCCUGCCCAAUGCCAAAAGGUCAAAAGGAGGUGUUAGCAGCAAUGCAAAGCACCGAAUUUAAGCCCUGGUGAAUGGCGGCCGUAACUAUAACGGUCCUAAGGUAGCGAAAUUCCUUGUCGGG
rnacentral:rRNA from 1 species